rnacentral:rRNA from 1 species
UACGAAGGGGGCUAGCGUUGUUCGGAAUUACUGGGCGUAAAGGGCGCGCAGGCGGCCCUCCAAGUCAGGUGUGAAAGCCCCGGGCUCAACCCGGGAAUAGCACUUGAGACUGGGGGGCUUGAGUUCGGGAGAGGAGAGUGGAAUUCCCAGUGUAGAGGUGAAAUUCGUAGAUAUUGGGAAGAACACCGGUGGCGAAGGCGGCUCUCUGGACCGACACUGACGCUGAGGCGCGAAAGCGUGGGGAGCAAACAGG